AUUGAACGCUGGCGGCAGGCCUAACACAUGCAAGUCGAACGAGUGGCGGACGGGUGAAUAAUGUCUGGGAAACUGCCCGAUGGAGGGGGAUAACUACUGGAAACGGUAGCUAAUACCGAAUACCAUCGGCUGUCCCCAGAUGGUAUUAGCUAGUAGGCGGGGUAACGGAUUACCUAGGCGACGAUGCCUAGCUGGUCUGAGAGGAUGACCAGCCACACUGGAACUGAGACACUGUCCAGACUCCUACGGGAGGCAGCAGUGGGGAAUAUUGCACAAUGGGCGCAAGCCUGAUGCAGCCAUGCCGCGUGUAUGAAGAAGGCUUUCGGGUUGUAAAGUACUUUCAGCGUGGAAGCGUUACUCGCAGAAAAAGCACCGGCUAACUCCGUGCCAGCAGCCGCGGUAAUAC
rnacentral:rRNA from 1 species